GUCAGGAUGGCCGAGCGGUCUAAGGCGCUGCGUUCAGGUCGCAGUCCGGCCUUCCGGGCGUGGGUUCGAAUCCCACUUCUGACA
rfam:Ixodes scapularis strain Wikel colony gcontig_1108378452458, whole genome shotgun sequence.